UACGUAGGCAGCGAGCGUUGUUCGGAGUUACUGGGCGUAAAGGGUGUGUAGGCGGUUUUCUAAGUUUGGUGUGAAAUCUCCCGGCUCAACCGGGAGGGUGCGCCGAAAACUGGGAGACUAGGGUGCGGGAUGGGAGAGUAGGAAUUCCUGGUGUAGCGGUGAAAUGCGUAGAUAUCAGGAGGAAUACCGGUGGUGUAGACGGCUCUCUGGACCGCCACUGACGCUGAGACACGAAAGCGUGGGUAGCAAACAGG
rnacentral:rRNA from 1 species